rnacentral:lncRNA from 1 species
UCCAGCCGCCGGAGUCCGAUCGACGAUCCGAACACACCAUCGGACUCACAACGACGCGCUGAUGACGAUCCCCGCUUCCAAUUUUUCGAUCUGACACCCGAUCAUCCGGAGAGAUUUGCGGACGAUCUCGACCGUCGAUUCGCAAACGAAACCCGAUCGCCACGAAAUCAGUGCCAUCGCGAAGCUUGAGCAGAGGAGAGUCGGGAUAUGUCCUCCGAUCAUCCCUCCUCCGCCGGAUCUCUCCGAAAAAGCCAAAAACGCCGACUGCCACCAUUUUCUCUCUCCACCGUGAAUCUCCGAUUCCGGCCACCACUGUCGACACCGCUGCCGCCAAAACAAAGCCGAGGCCGAGAGGAGUCGAUCGGCACCAAAAUCAGCGACCACCGACGCCGGAAACGCCCGCACGGCGGCAAAGAAGCUUCGGCCAUCUUCCUCCUCGCGCGAGAGCUGCUGCCGUCGCCCGCUG